AAACACACACAAUUUUGAAAAUAGACACCCACUCUUGCUUUUUAAGGUAAACAGAUUGCUGCAUGGUAUCCUGGGGUCUGCCGAGCUAGAUAGUCUGAGUUCUGCAUAUUCGGGCACUUGGGUGGGACUUACAGGUGUUGGGAGACAUGGGACUCUGUGCUAGUAAGGAAAAGCCUUCAAGGUUUUUUUGUUUUGUUUUGUUUAUGUUAAGCCACUAAUCUCAGAAGAAAUACUCUGUGGGUGAGUUGUUCUCUGAACAUUACUGCUGAGGUCUGGCCCAGGGUCCUAUCGGGCCAUGUAAAGGAAACCUGUCUGUUUCUAUGGAGGGUUUCCUCGGCCCCACACUCCAAUGGCUAGGGGUCCGGGAAGUUUUAAGGCUUUGGGUGACUGAUAAAACUGUGUCCCCUGGGACAAGAAGGUGGCCCUUGGCUGUGCCUGGUGGACAGUGGCCUGCAUAGCAUGGGUCCUGGGCAGGGUGGUCUCCUCUCCUCAGGUCUAAUCCCCGGCCUCUAAGGCAGCCUUUCUCCUUGAGUAGCUCGCCCCACAUCCCUGAAUCAGCCUAUAUAGGAAAACAAUCAGGCCCACAUUGUAGAACAGCCCUGCUAUUUACAGGACAGAGAAUGGGGACAGGCUUGUCCCACGACCUGCAGAAAAGGCUCACCACAGAGCCUUGUCUCCCUGUUGAAGGGUGCCUUGUUGUAGCAAGAGUGGACCCAGCCCCCUGCAGCACGUCCCCCCUCACCCCAUCCCAGACUGUACCCCCAACUCAUGACAGAGACCCUAUGGUCAAGACAGACAUCUCAGCCGGGCAGAGGCCCCACUUGAAGGUAGAGUGGCUGGACCAGAAAAGUCCUGAGGGCCGAGGUGCAAGCUAGCAGCCAGGAAGACAGAGCAGGGCUGGGAGUCCAGCUGCAGAAAGGUCAGACGGGAACACCGGCAGCCUUGGCAUGACGUCGUGAAGGUGGCCAUUGCUAACCUGACAUGUGGGGACUCAGGAACCCCACCCCUUAUGGGCUCCAGUCUGUGCUGCUGGCCCCAGCUCUGGGGCUCUAAGAGGUCCUUGCUGCUACCCCACAGCAGCCUGCUGCCAUCCAUGUGUGCCCGUUGCUGAAGGCCUCGGUGGCCCCUGCCCAUGAGGAUGUGUGCCCCCGUUAGGGGGCUGUUCUUGGCCCUGGUGGUAGUGUUGAGAACCGCGGUGGCAUUUGCACCUGUGCCUCGGCUCACCUGGGAACAUGGAGAGGUAGGUCUGGUGCAGUUUCACAAGCCAGGCAUCUUUAACUACUCGGCCUUGCUGAUGAGUGAGGACAAAGACACUCUGUAUGUAGGCGCCCGGGAAGCAGUCUUUGCAGUGAAUGCGCUGAACAUCUCUGAGAAGCAACAUGAGGUAUAUUGGAAGGUCUCUGAAGACAAAAAAUCCAAGUGUGCAGAGAAGGGGAAAUCAAAGCAGACGGAAUGCCUAAACUACAUUCGAGUACUACAGCCACUAAGCAGCACUUCCCUCUAUGUGUGUGGGACCAAUGCGUUCCAGCCCACCUGUGACCACCUGAACUUGACAUCCUUCAAGUUUCUGGGGAAAAGUGAAGAUGGCAAAGGAAGAUGCCCCUUCGACCCCGCCCACAGCUACACAUCAGUCAUGGUUGGGGGCGAGCUCUACUCUGGGACGUCCUAUAAUUUCUUGGGCAGUGAACCCAUCAUCUCUCGAAACUCUUCCCACAGUCCCUUGAGGACGGAGUAUGCCAUCCCGUGGCUGAACGAGCCUAGCUUCGUCUUUGCUGACGUGAUCCAGAAAAGCCCAGAUGGUCCGGAGGGUGAAGAUGACAAGGUCUACUUCUUUUUUACGGAGGUAUCCGUGGAGUACGAAUUCGUCUUCAAGUUGAUGAUCCCGCGAGUUGCCAGGGUGUGCAAGGGCGACCAGGGCGGCCUGCGGACUUUGCAAAAAAAGUGGACCUCCUUCCUAAAGGCCAGGCUGAUCUGCUCCAAGCCAGACAGUGGCCUGGUCUUCAACAUACUUCAGGAUGUGUUUGUGCUGAGGGCCCCGGGCCUCAAGGAGCCUGUGUUCUAUGCGGUCUUCACCCCACAGCUGAACAAUGUGGGUCUGUCAGCGGUGUGCGCCUACACACUGGCCACGGUGGAGGCAGUCUUCUCCCGUGGAAAGUACAUGCAGAGUGCCACAGUGGAGCAGUCUCACACCAAGUGGGUGCGCUACAAUGGCCCAGUGCCCACUCCCCGACCUGGAGCGUGUAUCGACAGUGAGGCCCGGGCAGCCAACUACACCAGCUCCUUGAAUCUCCCAGACAAAACACUGCAGUUUGUAAAAGACCACCCUUUGAUGGAUGACUCAGUGACCCCGAUAGACAACAGACCCAAGCUGAUCAAAAAAGAUGUAAACUACACCCAGAUAGUGGUAGACAGGACCCAGGCCCUGGAUGGGACUUUCUACGACGUCAUGUUCAUCAGCACAGACCGGGGAGCUCUGCAUAAAGCAGUCAUCCUCACAAAAGAGGUGCAUGUCAUCGAGGAGACCCAACUCUUCCGGGACUCUGAACCGGUCCUAACUCUGCUGCUAUCGUCAAAGAAGGGGAGGAAGUUUGUCUAUGCAGGCUCCAACUCUGGAGUGGUCCAAGCGCCCCUGGCAUUCUGCGAAAAGCACGGUAGCUGUGAAGACUGUGUGUUAGCACGGGACCCCUACUGUGCCUGGAGCCCAGCCAUCAAGGCCUGUGUUACCCUGCACCAGGAAGAGGCCUCCAGCAGGGGCUGGAUUCAGGACAUGAGCGGUGACACAUCCUCAUGCCUGGAUAAGAGUAAAGAAAGUUUCAACCAGCAUUUUUUCAAGCACGGCGGCACAGCGGAACUCAAAUGUUUCCAAAAGUCCAACCUAGCCCGGGUGGUAUGGAAGUUCCAGAAUGGCGAGUUGAAGGCCGCAAGUCCCAAGUACGGCUUUGUGGGCAGGAAGCACCUGCUCAUCUUCAACCUGUCGGACGGAGACAGCGGCGUGUACCAGUGCCUGUCAGAGGAAAGGGUGAGGAAUAAAACGGUCUCCCAGCUGCUGGCCAAGCACGUUCUGGAAGUGAAGAUGGUACCUCGGACCCCCCCCUCACCUACCUCAGAGGAUGCUCAGACAGAAGGUAGUAAGAUCACAUCCAAAAUGCCGGUUGCAUCUACCCAGGGGUCCUCUCCCCCUACCCCGGCUCUGUGGGCAACCUCCCCCAGAGCCGCCACCCUACCUCCCAAGUCCUCCUCCGGCACAUCCUGUGAACCAAAGAUGGUCAUCAACACGGUCCCCCAGCUCCACUCAGAGAAGACGGUGUAUCUCAAGUCCAGUGACAACCGCCUGCUCAUGUCUCUCCUCCUCUUCAUCUUUGUCCUCUUCCUCUGCCUCUUUUCCUACAACUGCUACAAGGGCUACCUGCCCGGACAGUGCUUAAAAUUCCGCUCAGCCCUGCUGCUUGGAAAGAAAACACCCAAGUCAGACUUCUCUGACCUGGAGCAGAGUGUGAAGGAGACACUGGUCGAGCCUGGGAGCUUCUCCCAGCAGAACGGCGACCACCCCAAGCCAGCCCUGGAUACGGGCUAUGAAACGGAGCAGGACACCAUCACCAGCAAAGUCCCCACGGAUCGUGAGGACUCGCAACGGAUCGAUGAACUCUCUGCCCGGGACAAACCGUUUGAUGUCAAGUGUGAACUGAAGUUUGCAGAUUCGGAUGCUGACGGGGACUGAGGCCAGCGUGUCCCAGCCCAUGCCCCUCUGUCUUCGUGGAGAGUGUUGUGUUGAGCCCAUUCAGUAGCCGAGUCUUGUCACUCUGUGCCAGCCUCAGUCCUGUGUCCCUUUUUCUCUUGGGUUGAGCCUGUGGCUCAUCCCCUUUGUCCUUUUGGGAAGCAAGUAUCUAUUCCAGUCUCAAGUCCUGCAGUUGCUGGAGCGCUUACGCACCUGAGCCCUUUGUGUCCUGGGGGAGAGAUGGCCACCUCCGUGGGCUGCGAAGAGCCACCCCUUCCUCUUCCGAUUCUCCUAGCAGCCACUCAGAGAUAAUUUAAUUCCAGAUUGGAAACGCCCUUUUAGUUUAUCAGAUUGGUAACUUACAUCCUGCUGCCCAGAUGGCACGGACAGUUUUCUUUCACUUAAUUAUUAUUUUUUUUUUAAGGAUUUUCGCUCCUAUUGUGUUGAUGUCUUAGGUCAUUUUCUUUUUUUCUUUCUCUUUUUUUAUUACCAGAGGAGAUGUUUUAAUAUUCAUGAGAAGAGGAACAUUUUCUAGAUUUUUUUGUUGUUAUAUAUUGAGAUAUAAAAUAUGGCUAUGUUGCUUAAGAUUCUCAGGGAUAGACUUAUUUUUGUUAACUUCAUUCUUUCCUGCUGUUAGGAACAUAGGCCUAAAAUUGUCUCUUGAGUUUGCUCACCCUUUUGUUUUGGUAGGGUUUUUUUGUUGUUGCUGUUAUUGUUUCUAGUUUUUAAUCUUAUUCAUUUUGAAGGAUUUUUCUUUCUGAACUUUUUAAAUUUUUAUAUUUUCCUGCCAUACAUCUACAAAGUGGGUUUUGAGUGAGGGCAGGUGGCCCAGUGGCUUUGGGUGGCGACUGAGCUGGUCCCACGAGGGGAGGAGGGUUUAUAUACCCCAUGACCCUGCGGCUUCUUGGCGCCUCCUGCCCAUGAGGAUCACAUCCUGUCUCUCCUUGCUUCCAUCUCUCAUCACUGCCCUUGGACUUCCGCCUUGACUGUCCAUGAAAGACAGAAAUGGGUUGGGUAGUUGGGCUCCCAACCUCGGAUGGUGACCGCAACAUCCCGUGUGGGCGGCCGGCCGCUCCUGCAGCCCGACUCUCCUGCCAGUGUCUUUCAGGAUGUCAACGGGUGGUACGAUUCUGGCAUUUGUUUCUCGCUCACCGUGUGUGGAACACUCAUUCCAUGUAGAGGGUGACGAACUCUGGAUUCCCCCCCACCCCCACCCCGUGCCGUGUAGACACUCAUCUUCUGCAUGACAUGAUCUACCAUUCGGUGUAAACAUUUGUGUUUAUAAGAUUUACUUUGUUUUUAUUUUUCUACUUGGAACUGUACACAUUUGAAAAGUACCCAAAUAAACCAGAAGCUUUAUCGUUGACUGGGCCAGCCUUUGCCUUAGUGUGGAGGCUGGGGGCGGUGGGGUGUCCUCCUGUCCCUCUGUGACGGCCCUGGGUGGGGGUUGGUCCUGGGAUCUUGUCUGUUCUCAUCCCAUGUGUCCGGUUUCUUGCUUUACCUUCUCCGUCAUGGGAAUGGUUCUGACGACUUCUUCCUCAGUGCCUUCUUUUGUGUCCUCUGUCUCACAGCCUCAUCUCCUAAGUCCUUCCCUCCUCCUGGCUCCUCUCUAUCCUGUCUGGGCCCUGACUCAUCUUCUCCCAGAAGCCCUCGGCCGGCCUUGGCCUCGGGGCCCAACAGCCGUAAGCAGGUCACCUUACUGCCACCCUUCUUGAGUGACCAGGCGCAGAAGGUGCAGGCGCUGGGGACCUUCUACCUCUUCUGCCAGGCCACAGAAGGAAUUGGAUAGUUAAAGAACCAACAGAGAGUCCAGCAGAUAUCCGAUUCAUUUGGGAGAAGAACAGGCAUGCCCUGGAGACGUGUGUACCUAUGCAGACCCAUGCACUGCCCGAUGGCAGGGCCCAUGCCCUCAGCUGGCUUCGGGACACCAUCCAAGAAACCACCGAAUACAGCUGCUCUGUCCUCUCCUCAGCAGGAAACCAGACUUCAAAGGUUCACAUCACUGUGAUGAGACACGAGGCACUGCAGCAGGAAAAGUGGAGCCAGGAACUUGCUACGUGGCGUGCUGUGGCCGGGGAGCAUGACAGGCUGAUGCAGGGCUGGAGGAAGGCAUGGGAAAGCUGCAGCAAGGAUACCUUCUAGCCACCAGAGGCAGUUCUGGACUGAUCCCAAGUGACCUUGUUGACACCAGCUGCAGACGUACCUGAUGAACGCACAGCACCUACUGCACCAAGCUAUUGUGUCUUGGCUGGCUCCACACUGCCAUUCGCCACAGCCUGAGUGUCCCUUCCUAGAGGCUGGGAAUCUCUAGGCCUGAACCCCAGUAGGCCUGAGACAGAACAAGACCUUUCUACAUUAGCUCUUAUGUAGCAGAAAGAUCAGUCUGCCUGGCAGAAACAGAAGGCUCCUCACCCAAGCAGAUGACAGAGCAGCAGGUCUGUCAUGAAGGCUAACCGGAUGGCAGACACCCUGCAUUCUCCCCAGGACUUCCCUGCACUCCUGUCCCUCCCCCAGGGCCAGAACAGCUAAUCUCCACUCCCCUUCUGUAGAUCUAACUCAAGUCUGCUGCUGUGGCCACCUAGGAAACAGGUUGUUCCAGGGGCUAAGCUGGGAUAGGAGAGGUGGGGUCCAUGUGAGAAUCUUUUGCCUUAAACCUUGAGUGACAUGAGGAAGUUGCUCUUCGCUUAUCUCAGAGCCCAAGGCUGUUUUCCAAAGCACAGUGCUUCCCACCCGUUUACCCUGUCAGCGCUCCGCUUCUGAGGUAGAAAUGCCAAACAGGCCAAUUAUGCAAACCUUCAGGUGCCGUAUUAAACUGUUUUCCAGUGCUGA